UGUGACGUCACAGAAGAACUCCGAAACUUUCAGACAUUCGCUGAAGUUUGUGCGAGUAAGUUGAUUAUUGAGGUUGCUCUGAUCAGGAGAGAAAAUGACGUUUCUGAGUGCACUUCUCGCUGCUGUGGUGUAUUUUCUACUGCACCCCCUGUUGUACAUGGUCAUAGCUGCAGCCACCUUUUACUAUUAUGUUAAACGACGCAGUCGAGAGAAAACAACAGCGGGCCCCGAGGACACAACUGAAGAUUCAUUGUUUGACCAGGGAAGGGAACUGGCUGUGGUCCAACCCACAGAGGUUCCUCAGGACCAGGUCACGGAGCUUGUGAAGAUUCUGAACCGUAUUUUGUCUGAUGACAGGAUGAAGGAGCUGGAGGAAUGCAUCUGUAAGGCACUCAGAAAUUGGAAGAUAAAAAGCAAGAUCAGUGGUUGGGGUCUGGAUGACAUCUUUGUGGCAGUUACACAGGCACUAGCACAUGGGGCUGUGGCUUGCACACGCAGUGAGGUCCCGAGCUCUCAAGUAAAUGACGAAGAGGAGUUCAGUGUCGGUCCGUGGGCAGCAAUGAAGGCUGAGAUGGGAUUGGAUGAGAGAAACCCUUCCUGUUUCCUCCAUCUGUACAGCGUUGUCAUGGUGCUGCGGAAAGCGGCAUCAAGACAAGUGUCCAUGAAUAAGGUGCCUAACAUGGCAGUGGUGUUAAAGAGCAUUUUGCACACCCAGGGAGAUGCCAUAGCAGUGUUCAGGGACCCCACGGGUGAGAUGCAGGGUACAGUUCACAGACGGUUGCUGGAGGAGAGACAGGGAGAGCUGAAGACUGGCGCAGUGCUGCUGCUCAAACAAGUGAGCGUGUUCUCCACCUCUAAUCAGAACCACUACCUGAACGUAACCCCCAAUAACCUUCUUCGAAUCUACCCUCCUGACGGAGCAGUCCACGCCUCCUCCCAGCAUUCUCAGCCUGCACUGCCUGAAGGGGGGCCCAUAUCUCAGAUGGAACUGCAUUUUGAUGACCAUGAGGAUGAGGAGCAGGAGCAGGGCAGCAUCCCAGCUAAACCUAGGGUCCCAGCUAAUGGGGUGGUCCAGUCUACUACACGACCUGACUGCUCAGAGGAUGCUCAAUGGGAUGCAGACCAAUGGACAGAGAUUGAUGGACUGUAAAUGUUGGAGUGUUUAGAGAGGAAAUCAGUGAACGAGGCACUGCCAGAUGGUACGACUCUGAGGGAAAUCAACCGCUAAGAGUCCAGCGUAGGUGUGAACUCCUUUAAUACUGUUUAAAAAGCAUCUCAGGGAAAUUCCUCUAGAAAUCGGUCGAGAAAACGCCAAGAAUACAUUUCUGGAAAUUCUAGGCGAGAAAGGACGUCUACUUUGACGAUGCUAAAAUACAAAGUUUAGAUUUAGUUUGGAUUUUUUCAUCACAACAUAAUUCCCCAUAGUUCCACUUGUGUUAUUCCAGAGUUUUGUUGGCCAUUUUUCCCCACAUUUUAGAAUAAUAAAGAAUGUGUCAAAUGUUUGUAUGUACCAUUAUUAUUUGCAUUGAUUUGUUCUCAUUUUGUUUUGGGUCUGUUUGCUUAUGGUUUUUGUGCCAACUGACUGAGCAUA